rnacentral:lncRNA from 1 species
CUGACUUGGGGCCGGCCGCGGGCAGGCGGGCAUCUGGCGGCCGAGGCCGGGACUUCGGGGCCCCUCCCGGGCGAGUCGCGGGGCGGCGGCGGGAAGGGGCGCCGCACGGAGGAAGUGCCCUCUUGGCCGCAGCCAGAGCCGCGCCGCAGGUGCCGCGAUGUCGUCCUGGCCGGGGCGCGAGGAUGCGAGGGCUGGGGGCGCGUGGUGGCCGCGGGAGCCGCUGGAUCAGGAACUGCAGCGGGCCCGGGAGCAGAAGCGGCGGCGGCACGACGCCCAGCAGCUGCAGCAGCUCAAGCGCCUGGAGUCCUUCUCCUCGCCCCCGCUUUGGUGUGGGCGUCGCCUCUUUUGGGGAAGCCAAGAGUUAUUGGCGCUUGCUCGGCAUUUGUGGACCGAACAGGCAAGUUCAACCGAGCACGCUGCCCCCGCGCUCCACCUCUGAGUUCCCUGGGCCACUGCGACAUGGAGAAACCCCGUUCUUUUCAUCCUCUGCUACGGAGAAGGGACGAGGACACGGGUCCUGCAGUGUUGGUGUGGCGAGGCCCGGAAGAAGAGAGAAUGGGCGGCGGGGACUGGCCACGGCGCUGCUAGAGAAAGGGUCUCACCUGUGGCCAGGAGCGGUGGCUCACGCCUGUAAUCCCAGCACUUUGAGAGGCCGCGGUGGACAGAUCACGAGGUCAGUAGUUCGAGACCAGCCUGAGCAACAUGUUGAAACCCCGUCUCUACUAAAAACAAAAAAAAUUAUCCGGGCGUGAUAGUGCGCACCUGUAAUCCCAGCUACUCAAGUUAUGAAAAACCUCCUCCUGGGCUUAUCAAGAGGUUGGCAUUGCAAAUGGUAUGGUCACCGAACAGGCUACAAAGAAUGCCCUUUCUUUAUCAAAGACAACCAAAAGUUACAACAGUUCAGAGUAAGGCACAUGAGGAUUUCAUGUAUGACAUCAUACGAGACAAUAAACAACAUGAAAAGAAUGUAAGAGGAUACAGCAGUUAAAACAGUUACUGGAGGAUUCUACCUCAGGUGAAGAUAGGAGCAGCUCCAGUUCCUCUGAAGGUAAAGAGAAACACAAGAAAAAGAAGAAGAAAGAAAAGCAUAAGAAAAGGAAGAAAGAAAAGAAAAAGAAGAAAAAACGGAAGCACAAAUCUUCCAAGUCAAAUGAGGGUUCUGACUCAGAGUGACAAGGAUGUGACUUGUUCAACAUUCUCUUCUCAAACACUGACCAAGGAACAGAGGAAGAUGCAGUCAGAGAAAGUAGCAGGAUAGAGACGCCGAGAGAGGAGUAUAUGUGGGUCACAGCAGUGAGCUCCCACCCGCCUUGCAGUGAAGAUGUGACCCCAGGAGAGGGAGUGUCUCCUUCCAGGUGCUAGCUCUGGACAGCAGCUGAUUUUAGGCAGGAAAGUUUCUUCAUCGUUGUCCUCCCUGCUGGUCACAUGAGUUUACGAUUCCUUAGAAGUGUCUCCCACAGGGUGGCAGGACUGGGAGAAUCUCUGAGGCGUGUCUUCCAGGCCCUCCCACAGCUUGUGCCCUCCACAGUGUAGACUUGAACACUUGGCCUCAUGUGAUCCUUCCACCUUGGCCUCCCAAAGCAUUGGGAUUACAGGCGAGAGCCACUGGUUGGCUAAAAUAUUUAUAUUUACCUGACAUGAUUUGUUGAUUUGGGGGCUAGGGAGUUCUUAAAACAACAAUAAAAAAUCUUCUGUGGCUGCAGCUCCUAUAGACAGACUACAGGGGAAAAAUCCCAGAGCCCCUACAAAUCCAUCUCCAAACUCAAAUGAGAACUGAGCUCAAAAAGCCCACUAGCAAACCAGAAGUGUGCUAGCCACCCACUUAAACUUUCUUUUUCAGACAUCUCUUUCAGAUAUACAUUUUCCAUUACUAUCCAGGGAGACAAAAUAAGCCCUUAAACCUCCCUUCACUCAGACAUCGUAUGAUGAAUGUCAGACAUCCUACUGAUAUGGUUUGGAUGUUUGUCCGCUCCAAAUCUCAUGAUGAAAUGUAAUCCCCAGUGUUGGAGAUGAGGCCUGGUGGGAGGUGUCUGGAUGAUGGGGGCAGAUCCCUCAUGAAUGGGUUAGUGCCAUCCCCUUGGUGAUGAGUCAGUUCACACCAGAUCUGGUUGUUUAAGUGUGAGUGGCACCUCUCCCUCCCUCUUUUGCUCUGGCUGUUGCUGUCACCAUGUGAUAUGCUGGCUCCUCAUUGCCUUCCACCGUGACUGUAAACUUCUUGAGGCCUCACCGGAAAGAUAUUCCAGCACCACACUUCUCGUACUGUCUGCAGAACCUUGAGCCAGGCAGGUGUCUUUUCUUUAUAAAUUACCCAGGCUAAAAUGGCAUCAUGAUUUCUCCCACUAAUCUUCAGACUGUUAAUAGGAUGCACUUUACUCCUGUGACUAGAUUGUGUUACCAGUACAAGGAAAGGGAGACCACCUGGGUGUUCCUAACCAAAUCAUGAGAACCCUCUGGAACUCGAUUUGUCCCUGGCUGUUAACCAAAGAGGAGGUCAGAGAGUCCAAGCCUGUGAAAGAUUCCACGCAUCAUUACUGGUUUUAGAGUUGAAGGGGCCACAUGGUGAGGGAUGCAGCAA